UACGUAGGGUGCGAGCGUUAAUCGGAAUUACUGGGCGUAAAGCGUGCGCAGGCGGUUCGUUGUGUCCGAUGUGAAAGCCCCGGGCUCAACCUGGGAAUGGCGAUGGAUACUGGCUCGCUAGAGUGCGGUAGAGGAGAGUGGAAUUCCCGGUGUAGCAGUGAAAUGCGUAGAGAUCGGGAGGAACAUCAGUUGCGAAGGCGGCUCUCUGGACCAGCACUGACACUGAGGCACGAAAGCGUGGGGAGCAAACAGG
rnacentral:rRNA from 1 species